rnacentral:rRNA from 1 species
GGCGGCGUGCUUAACACAUGCAAGUCGAACGGUAAGGCCCUUUCGGGGGUACACGAGUGGCGAACGGGUGAGUAACACGUGGGUGAUCUGCCCUGCACUUUGGGAUAAGCCUGGGAAACUGGGUCUAAUACCGAAUAUGACCAUGGGAUGCAUGUCUUGUGGUGGAAAGCUUUUGCGGUGUGGGAUGGGCCCGCGGCCUAUCAGCUUGUUGGUGGGGUGAUGGCCUACCAAGGCGACGACGGGUAGCCGGCCUGAGAGGGUGUCCGGCCACACUGGGACUGAGAUACGGCCCAGACUCCUACGGGAGGCAGCAGUGGGGAAUAUUGCACAAUGGGCGCAAGCCUGAUGCAGCGACGCCGCGUGGGGGAUGACGGCCUUCGGGUUGUAAACCUCUUUCACCAUCGGCGAAGCCGGGAGCUUUUGUUUCUGGUGACGGUAGGUGGAGAANAANCACCGGCCAACUACGUGCCAGCAGCCGCGGUAAUACGUAGGGUGCGAGCGUUGUCCGGAAUUACUGGGCGUAAAGA